UCAACACAUCGUCUUGUUUAAAAAUUCGUGUUCUUUCCUCAGCGACUGCUAUUUUUUUCCAGACAAUGAGGCAAUAAGAAUUCAUUUCACAAAGGCUAGAGAUUGUUUAUUUUAUACCCAAGUCGCAUCAUCCAAUAUCUUCAUACUUUCAGACACCAUUUCAACGCUUUGAAUAUUAAAGGAUAUUUUAGUAGCUUCGGGCGCGUGGAAAGAGCUUGCCAAUUAAAAUUUACCCUCUAAAGAUGUGCCAACGCAUUCGGAUAUUGAUCGUUCCGAGAGGGUGCGCAUGCGUUACAGGAAAAUAACCCUAGCAAAAUUUUCUCAAGGGAAAAUGGCGAUAACACUGUAUCGAUUUCACUCCAUUCAUGAACCCGGGGCUGCACAAUUUUUUUCUAGUCUAUUUAUAAUUUGGUUUCAGGCUAUUUUGGGUAACCUGCUAUAUAAAUAAGUAAGUGAUAGAAAUGUAAUUACUUCUAACCGCUCAGAACUUACUCGUUAUUGUGAACAUUUUUAACAAGGGGUAAUAACAGAAUCCACACAAAUUUUGAUUUUAGUAAAAUGCAAAUGGUUUUAGUUGUAUGAGGUAAUACAGUAGUCGUCAAUCAAUUACCUCGAAAAAAUUGAUUAAUAAUAAUGGUGAAAAACUGCUUUAUUAUGGCUUUUUAAACCAUCUUUUAUAAAAUGCAUACUGUAACUCAUCUAGGGUCGUUCUACUGUUAGUUGCUCAUAAAAAGAUUGGAUUCUUUAAGCUUUAAGCUCUAAGGUAUGUUCUUGUCCUUCAAGUAGCUAUGUAAGUAUACACAUUUAAUUAAACCAAUAAUGUAAUUUGUACCUAAAGUUUCCCGUCAAUGGAAAGUUAGGCUUCUUUAGGGAUUUUUAUUUUUACCCAAAGUUGCUUCCGUUUUUUUUUUACGAAUACAGUUUUUUUAUUCAAUUUUUUUUGAAAGGUGCUGUACAAUUUGUAUUAAGUUCAAAGGCCUAGAGAAACGAAUUUUAAAAAAUAUGACACACUUAUGGAAAUAAAAGGAUUGAAAUCUGUUUCGUGGAGGAAAAUUAUAGGAAAUUUAUUUCAUAAAUGUAGACCUACUCGGCCUACUCAGCAAAUAUUAGAAAGUUAUACUUACCUAAAGCUUUUCCCAAAUGGAAAUUUUUAUGAAUUCCAUUCUUGCUCUAGAACUUGCUCACUUUAACGGUACACUAACAAAUUUCAAAUUUUCACAUUCGAGUAUAAAGCAUAUAAAGAACUGAGCGUAAAAGGAUGCGAUCCAAGCUUGCUCCCGCCGUCAAGUUUCACUACCAACUGUUAGCGUUGUCUUCCCUAUUACCCGGUUCCCUCCGAGCGACCGACCGGAGCCAUUAACAUAAAUUAUUAGAGGAGACAGUUAAUAUUGGGCCAUAAAGUUUACCCAUGCUGGCAUUUCUGGAGAGAACAACGAUUGCUCAACGGACUUUUAGUGGAAAGCUCGGGGCGAUUUUGGACGAAACUGCAACCGGAGCGAUCCGUCGCGCUAUUUGGCUUUUGUUGUUGUUAUAUUCUAUUAUCUAUUGAACUUGGAGUUUGUCUAUUCGAAGUAUAUGGUCGUUUUUGCGUUUGGUGUUACGUUCUGCUGGAAUGAUGCUCAAACCUUGGCGGAAUUUCAGUUGACUCACAAUUCCUUUACGGAGCGGCACACAACGGUGAUCAAAACGAAGUAGUAGUGCAUGACGGUUGGUUGACCGCAAGUACCUAAACAUUGUAAUGGUGCAUCAUCUUUUCGCAACUAUAAGUGCUGAAUAUACAGGAUACUUCGUGACCGUGGGUAUGACUUUUACCCUGACCCUCGAGAUGAUUUUGCAAGUUAAGUCAUUUUGUUCCAACCCCAGAAAUGGAAAGAGCAAAAAAUUUUGUGAUUGGGAAUAUUCUUGAAGUUAUUUUUUUUUUAAUUUUUCAAGAUAUUAAAAACGAUCAAAUAUCAUAAAUCUCUUCAGUGAAUCUCAUUAUUUCGGAAACAGUUUCAGGCAAAAGCGAAUAUUUUCAGAGAGGCAAUUAACUGCCAGUUAAUCUUGUAGGUGUGCUCAACCUUCACAUUCAAGCUCAAUUCAUGAUCAAGUUUGUUUUAUUUUGAAAUACACAAACCCAGGAAUGGAAAGAAAUCGAUAACACUGUUGAAGUUGGUUUCCUCUUAAUUUUUCAGUAAGCAUUAAUGAGAAAUUAAGAACAAAUCAACUUCAGUGGUUUUCCUUGCUGUUGACAAAAAUAUGUUUUCCCAAUAAAAAAUUACCGAAACCACAAGUUCAAGCUAGAGUUUACACUCAAGUUCGCCAUUUUGAUUGCCUCUUUGAAAUUGUACAACUUCUGUCUGAAACAUUUCCCGAAAUAAUGGGAUUCAGUCUAGGUAUUUUGGAUAUAUAAUUGCUCUUAAUUGGUUCAAAAUUAAAAGCAAAUUAACUUCAAGGGCACUUCCGAUUAGAAAAUUUUGCGCUCUUCCUAAUGCCGAGAUCAAAAAGAAGCAUCCCCAAUUGAGAGAAAAAAUGAAAACAAUAACUUAUCGUUCAAAUGACCUUAAUUGUCAAGGUCAAUAUUAAGUUCAUGAUCACCAAAUGAUCUGUCUUUGAGAAGAAUACAACAAAAUCAAGAUAUUUCAUUGUCUUUAGUUAAUAAAUUACCCACCCUAUUUUAUCACCACCCUUUUGGCAAUUAUAUAGAACAGGAAUUAAGAACAAUUUGUUAUUUUCAAAUGUACCUAUAAUAUAGGUGUAUACGAGUUGUAUAGAGGAAUAUAUUUAACCGUAGU
rnacentral:lncRNA from 1 species